rnacentral:rRNA from 1 species
GGCUAUAUGAAGACUAAGCUGUCUCUUGCAGCCCGCCUAUGAAACUGAUCUCUUAGUUAAAAAGCUAAGAUUUUUCCGCAAGACGAGAAGACCCUGUGGAGCUUCAAACCAGGCUCACAGCAUGAUACACCGGUUUUUAGUUGGGGCGACUUCGGAGAACAAAAAAUCCUCCGACCAAACACAAUUAGAUCAACACAUCAAAAUAUAACUAGACCCAGUAGUAUUAUUACUAACUGACUAACGAACCAAGUUACCCCAGGGAUAACAGCGCUAUCCUCUUCUAGAGUCCCUAUCGACAAGAGGGCUUACGACCUCGAUGUUGGAUCAGGACA